rnacentral:rRNA from 1 species
GAUGAACGCUGGCGGCAGGCUUAACACAUGCAAGUCGAGCGGAGUGAUGGUGCUUGCACUAUCACUUAGCGGCGGACGGGUGAGUAAUGCUUAGGAAUCUGCCUAUUAGUGGGGGACAACAUCUCGAAAGGGAUGCUAAUACCGCAUACGUCCUACGGGAGAAAGCAGGGGAUCACUUGUGACCUUGCGCUAAUAGAUGGGCCUAAGUCGGAUUAGCUAGUUGGUGGGGUAAAGGCCUACCAAGGCGACGAUCUGUAGCGGGUCUGAGAGGAUGAUCCGCCUCACUGGGACUGAGACACGGCCCAGACUCCUACGGGAGGCAGCAGUGGGGAAUAUUGGACAAUGGGGGGAACCCUGAUCCAGCCAUGCCGCGUGUGUGAAGAAGGCCUUAUGGUUGUAAAGCACUUUAAGCGAGGAGGAGGCUCUUUUGGUUAAUACCCAAGAUGAGUGGACGUUACUCGCAGAAUAAGCACCGGCUAACUCUGUGCCAGCCGCCGCCGUAAGAC